rnacentral:rRNA from 1 species
UACAGAGGUCCCAAGCGUUGUUCGGAUUCACUGGGCGUAAAGGGUGCGUAGGUGGUCGGGUAAGUCUGAUGUGAAAUCUCUGGGCUCAACCCAGAAAUGGCAUUGGAUACUAUCCGGCUAGAGGAGUGGAGGGGGAACUGGAAUACUUGGUGUAGCAGUGAAAUGCGUAGAUAUCAAGUGGAACACCAGUGGCGAAAGCGGCUCACUGGACCACAACUGACGCUGAUGCACGAAAGCUAGGGGAGCAAACAGG